rnacentral:lncRNA from 1 species
AAUGCACUUUCUAACGUCUCCGGAGGGAAGUGCGCUUGCGCAAAUGCUAGGUUACACUUGAGUAACUCCGGGAAUGACUGGGUUGUGCACCAUCUCCAGGUGCUUAUGAUGUUAAAACUUUAGAAGUAUUGAAAGGACCAGUAUCCUUUCAGAAAUCACAAAGAUUUAAACAACAAAAAGAAUCUAAACAAAAUCUUAAUGUUGACAAAGAUACUACCUUGCCUGCUUCAGCUAGAAAAGUUAAGUCUUCGGAAUCAAAGAUUCGUGUUCUUCUACAGGAACGUGGUGCCCAGGACAGGCGGAUCCAGGAUCUGGAAACUGAGUUGGAAAAGAUGGAAGCAAGGCUAAAUGCUGCACUAAGGGAAAAAACAUCUCUCUCUGCAAAUAAUGCUACACUGGAAAAACAACUUAUUGAAUUGACCAGGACUAAUGAACUACUAAAAUCUAAGUUUUCUGAAAAUGGUAACCAGAAGAAUUUGAGAAUUCUAAGCUUGGAGUUGAUGAAACUUAGAAACAAAAGAGAAACAAAGAUGAGGGGUAUGAUGGCUAAGCAAGAAGGCAUGGAGAUGAAGCUGCAGGUCACCCAAAGGAGUCUCGAAGAGUCUCAAG